rnacentral:rRNA from 1 species
AUGUCUACGUCAGAGGGUUCGGAGACUGCUGAUUUCAUGGAUGAGGAUACGAGUCAAAUACCACAUGUUAGAAGGUCCAAGGUAUGGGAGCAUUAUGAAGUAGAUUUGGUUCUCGUAGAUGGUGAUUUCAAGGCUGUGUGCAAAUACUGUGGAGCGCAACUUCACACCAAGUUUGGGACUAGCAGUUUGAGGACCCAUAUUGCAGAGGCGGUGCGCGCGAGCCGGUUCCGCCGGCAUGUGAUCUGUGUCAGUCCGCACAGGAGUUUUCGUCGAGCCGGAGACGGAGCCGGAGCACGACGCCGGCCGGCGGGGCGGCGUUAA